ACGGUUCCAUCGGUUUACAGGGAUGUGAGCUACAGCAGCUUGAGCGCUGGACAGGGUCACGUCUGCGCUCUAAGAAGCAGUGGAAAACUCGACUGCUGGGGACAAAACACGUAUGGGCAGCUAAACUUUCCGCAAGCUCGCAGCUUUAUCCAAGUGAGCUCUGGAUAUGACUACACCUGCGGGCUCGUCGAGGGUGGCGAGGCUCUUGGGAUCGUUCCACCGCUGUUUUCUCCCGCGCACAGCCGAAAUCGCCUUUAGUGUUUUGUGAACGCACACUUGCGGACUGGAAAAGGACACUGGGACUGUGGACGACCAACGGCUUUAAAAGCGAAGACCGGCAUUUAAAUCGCUACUCCUAUUUGGUAAGCAAAUUAAAGCUAAUUUACUACUAAUUCACGCACCAACCGUCCGGGUCAACUCUAAAGUCAACAAUGUUGACUUUUAAAACAUUGUCUGUUGAUGCGUAAAAUAUUCUUAUUAUAUUGUUGUACACUUCUUUUAAGUUCUAUUCGAUGUCGUAG
rnacentral:lncRNA from 1 species